rnacentral:rRNA from 1 species
UACGUAGGGGGCAAGCGUUGUUCGGAUUCACUGGGCGUAAAGGGUGCGUAGGUGGUGAGGUAAGUCGGAUGUGAAAUCUCCGAGCUCAACUCGGAAAUUGCAUUGGAAACUACCUUGCUUGAGGGUUGGAGGGGGGACUGGAAUGCUUGGUGUAGCAGUGAAAUGCGUAGAUAUCAAGCGGAACACCAGUGGCGAAGGCGAGUCCCUGGACAACACCUGACACUGAGGCACGAAAGCUAGGGGAGCAAACAGG